rnacentral:rRNA from 1 species
GAUGAACGCUGGCGGCGUGCUUAACACAUGCAAGUCGAACGAAGCACUUUAUUUGAUUUCCUUCGGGACUGAUUAUUUUGUGACUGAGUGGCGGACGGGUGAGUAACGCGUGGGUAACCUGCCUUGUACAGGGGGAUAACAGUUGGAAACGGCUGCUAAUACCGCAUAAGCGCACAGCAUCGCAUAAUGCAGUGUGAAAAACUCCGGUGGUAUAAGAUGUACCCGCGUUGGAUUAGCUAGUUGGUGAGGUAACGGCCCACCAAGGCGACGAUCCAUAGCCGAGCAGAGAGGGUGGCCGGCCACAUUGGGACUGAGACACGGCCCGAAAUACUACGGGAGGCGGCAGUGGGGAAUAUUGCAAAAUGGGCGAAAGGCUGAUGCAGCGACGCCGCGUGAGCGAAGAUGUAUGUAGAUAAGUAAAGCUCGAUAAGAAGGGAAGAUAAUGACGGUACCUGAAUAAGAAGCACCGGCUAAAUACGUG